CCAGCCGAUAAGGAAUAACUGUGACCGUCCUCUGCAUCCUCCCUACCGGCAACGUGGCAAGACUCCGCAGCUCUAAGAUCUGAGCUUUGUUCCUCAUGUAACCUACAAUCCGAGGACACGGAUGGUCCUGUGGAGGUGACACACAGAGGACCGUCAGUAGGUUUUUGUUUUCACCUUUAGCCUGAAGGUUGUCGUGAUUUCCUCUUCUCCUGCCUUGAGGCUCUGCAGCUGUCAAACUCCUCAGGGCGCGCUCCACUGUUUACUUUCAGGCUGGGAUACUCACUGCAAACAGCGGAGAUGAAGCAUCAUGCACACACACACCCUGAAUGAUAUGGAGCAGAUUUUUUGAAGUAUCUACAGCUUUUUAGUUUUUUCUAAUUUACUUUUUUUUUUUUGUUAGCUCAGGGACCAGUGCAGUAACAGCACCCAGCUGUAUGGUCACAGUAUUUAGUGAACUUUAUCCUCUUGUUAUCAUGGUGACUUGUUAUCAGCUCAUGGUUUCAGUUCCCUGUGAAAUGAUGUGGCAGUCAUACCUGUACUUUGACUGCGUCUGGCACGUGUAAGUUGUGUUAAGGAGGGCCAGUCUCGUGUGGAGGGGUCAUCAUGGAUCACAGAGGUCACCCCUGGCCCGACUCUGGUCGUCACUCCCACAGAACAAAGGACAGAGAGGAUUACUACAGGUAUUCUCAGCAGGACAGGUACCAGAGCUAUCCACCGCCAGACCCCAGAGAGAGGGACAGACACUGGGCUCAUCCUGAGCCUCGCUACAGGGCGAACUUCACUAGCCCACCUGCCAGACCGGAGCAGUAUCCUUACAGCUCCCACCAGUAUCCCUAUGGCCAUGGAUACCAAAGACCCCAGUCCAGGCAGGGUUAUGAGUAUCCACCUCACAGCCAAUGGGACUACAGAGACAACUAUGGUUAUUAUGACCAUGACUACUAUAGAGGACAGCAUGGGCAACAAGAUGCCGGACAGUGGGGUCCCCAAGACUCACGGAGAGCAGAGCGUUUCCAUGACAGGAAAUACAACCCGGAACAUUCAGGGAGCUCCUACACAGAGGAGUACAGGUAUGACCAGGGGAGAGACAACUCUCAGCCUUACCUCAGUGACUAUGAGGAAAAUCCUUCCAGAGAGAAUGAAGAGGUUUCCUCUUAUUACCUUGGGACAUUAGAAAGUUCCAGAGCCUCAGGGUUAUCUUCCAGCAGCUAUGAACUGAGUCAGUAUAUUAAUGGAGCUGAACACAGUGACCCUGUGCCACAGCCUGUUCCCACAUCUGAUGCAGAUCAUCGACACCAGAUGUCAGCUCCUCUUAAGUACUCAAUCCCUCAUGCGGUGGUCAGCUUUGGACCUGCAGGCCAGCUGAUUCGGGUCACUCCAGGCUUUUCUACACAGGAGAACGUCAGCCAGUUGGAAAUCCACAGCCUGGAAGUCAUUCUGAGUGAGACACAGGAACAGCAGGAGAUGAGAAACUUCCCUGGUCCCCUAACUAGGGAAGAUUUGCACAAAGUAGAUGCUAUAGAGUUUGCCAACCAGAAGGCAGGCGCCUGCAUGAGAGAAGACAAGAUGCAUAAUAAGAGCUCUGCUGCCCUCCUGUGGAACCUUCUGAUACUGCUCUGCAGACAGAAUGGACAAAUAGUGGGAUCAGAUAUUGCAGAACUGCUGAUGCAGGGCUCACGUUCAGAUGGAAGCUGGGAGUCAGACGCUCGCACACUCAUUGACUUCAGUGAGAGCACGACUGCUGAAGCACCGCCUCGAGAAGGAGAUGACCUGCUCACUGGAAACUGGAGCAGCUUCAGCUCUGAGACCUCAGAGAAGGCCCUGCAGAGCUACACCCAGCUGCUGCUGGCUGGAAGAAAGAAGGAGGCCUUGGAGUCAGCCAUGAGCAGCGGUCUGUGGGGACAUGCACUUUUUCUGGCCAGCAAAAUGGACAACAGGUCCUAUACCACUGUGCUGAGCAGGUUUACAGGCCAGCUCACGGCCAGCGAUCCCCUUCAGACCCUCUUCCAGCUGCUCUCUGGGAGAAUCCCUGCUAUAGCCACGUGCUGUGGAAAAGAAAAAUUGGGAGACUGGAGGCCCCAUCUGGCCGUCAUGCUCUCCAAUGAGACGGGAGAUCCUGCCGUCCAUCAGAAGGCUAUCAUUACCAUGGGAGACACACUCGCCUCCAGAGGCCUCGUACAUGCCGCCCAUGUGUGCUACCUGACAGCCGGUGUCCCCUUUGGGGUGUUCACGCAGAAAGCAGAGAGACUGGUGCUUCUAGGCAGCAGCCACAGGCAAUCUUUUCAACACUUUGCCACAGACUCUGCCAUCCAGUGCACUGAGUUAUAUGAGUACUGCCAAACACUUGGGGGCAAAUGCUUUACAAUACCAUCCUUUCAGGUGUAUAAGCUCCUAUAUGCCACUCGACUGUUGGAUUGUGGCCUUGCAUCUCAGGCCUUCCAUUACUGUGAGGUGGUAGGGCAGGCAGCCCUCAGACAGGAGGAGCCUUACUUUGUACUGACGGGAGAAGUUAUUAAGCUGGCAGACAGACUCAGACACUCCGAGGGUCAGUUCAGUGAAGCAGGUGUUGGUGGAGCCGGGCAGGAACCUGAUUGGCUGGAACAGCUGCGUGCGAGGCACCGCAGUUUACAGACGGGGAGUUACCACUGUAAUGAGACAUACCAGCCAUCACCUGAGGGACGUGCUUUGGCAGAAUCUGACCUGGAUGACCGAAGCUGUGACAUCCAGAGUCCUGAACCUGAACUCCUGUAUUACAGAGGCAGUGAGGACCAUGAAAGCUCUGUGCAUGAAACAGAAGGAGACACUGAGGAAACGACAGCGUCAUCAUGGGACAUAAGAGGAGCUCAGGACUGGCCACAGGCCAAUCCACCGAUUCCAGUAACCGUAGUUUAUGCUCCCCCAGUGCCCACAGAGGCCACGAGCCAAGACUUCAGUUAUCAUAACACAGAUAGUGCUGAAGUCAGUACUGCCUCACCACAUUGUCCUCUGAGUAAUCUGCCCUCAGCAGCAGAGGGGGCUGGCUCGUCUUCUGGAACAGGCAUGAUCAGGAGUCAGAAGAUGGAGUUUGACAUCUGUCACCAGGGGCAAAACCAGCAGAGCAUCCCACAAGGCUUAGAGUCGUCUGAGCAGAGGAGCGAGCCUCUGAAACAGAACACCAAGAAGGGCUGGUUCAGUGGCUGGUUCAAAUCAAAGCCCAGAGAGGAGAGUUCAGUGCAGGGCGGUCCAGCUCAGACAGAGCCACCACCCACAGCUGGUUCCUGUCCUCCUCCCCCACCGGCCAGUGUCUCUCCUCACAUGUUUCCCUCCCAGUCCUCCUCUGCUGGGAUCAAUCCCUUUUCAAGGAAAGCAGGCCAGCAGCUGGGGUAGGAACCCUGUGAAGACCACUGGCCUGCAUCACAGUGCCUGAACGUCCAGUGAGAUCUUUACCUGAGCUUGCAGGUCCAUACCAUCACAUUUCUUUUUUAAGGAUGCCCUUUCACACCCCCACAGCCUGCCGACCAUCAUACCGCACGUUAGACACAGAAGUCCUCUGGAUGGACUGACACAGUAACUCAUAUGGCAGAGACGGAAACAGCUGAGACGGGCUUCCUAAAAGCUGACAUAAGUGAAAUUACCAGAGGAUGCAGGACAUAUUUAAGAAAAAGGAGAUCUUAAUUGACCCCAGUAACUAUUUACGUAUGAGGGAUUUGAUCUGGAGCAUCAGUGCCAGCAGCAGAGAGAAGCUUUGGUGAGGCAGAAAAAGUUUAGAAUAGCUGGUGCAACUGUGACCACCUAUGUAACUGCCCACUGAGUAUCAGUGUCCUCAGACUCUCACAGCUCAGAUCACUCCUAAAUGUUUAUCCAUGCUAUGUACUGUAAGAGAAUACCCACCAGCUAAAUUUAAGUUAUGUUCCAAAGUGUAAAUCCAUCAGCCCUAUUGCAUCAUCUUUUUAUGAUAAAAUAUCUACGCACUUAAACACAAUUAACCCAUAUAUCACAAAAUAUAUCAAAACAAAAAUAGGACAACCAAUUAAAAUGUAAUCCAACGCUGUGGACAUUUGACGGAGGCCAGCUUUAAUCAUCCAGCCUGAGUAGGGAAAGUUUGCAGUCGAGGCUAAUUAUAGCACAAUGUUUGAUUAUUUUCAGCAGCUGUAAAGUGGAAUAGUUUUAGUUUUAGUAAUAUAUAAGGCAUGCACAGAAUACAUGGAAGAGUGUGUCCCUGUGUUGUCAUGCUGCCAAGAUGGAUGAUACCACGUGGCUGAGGGGGAGGGGGGACUGGGAAAGACCUUUGCCAGGCAAACAGCCAACAGGUGCUACAGUGCAGCGUCCCCUCAGCUAGCAAACGCGUUUAGGAUCAGACGCUUUAUGUGCUGACGUUGUUUGUAAUGCCUCGAUCAGAGACCGGGCCUGGCUAAUGGCUCUGGUAUAUAACUGUGUGUGGGAUGAUAAAGCCAGAGGCUCUUACAGAUGUAUAUAAAUCAUAAGGUAAUAUAAAGGCUUGGAAUACAUUUUAGAACAAUCUUUUUAUUACCCCGUCACCUUGGAAACAUAUUUUGAUGUAACCGAGAUGUUUGUUUUUACUUCUGUCAUAUGGCUCUGUGCUUUAUGUGUCACAGUCUGUGUGAAUGUUUUUCUAACACCUGCACCAGCACAUGAAAUUCAUUCAUUACCAGUAUAUGUGUGCAGUUCUGCCUCCGAGUAAUUUCUCAGUAUUAUUACAUAUAUAAAGGCUGUAUUCAUCAUG